rnacentral:rRNA from 1 species
GGAGAGGGAGCCUGAGAAACGGCUACCACAUCCAAGGAUGGCAGCAGGCGCGCAAAUUACCCAAUCCCAACACGGGGAGGUAGUGACAAGAAAUAACAAUACGGGGUUCUUUCGGAUCUCGUAAUUGGAAUGAGUACAAUUUAAAUCUCUUAACGAGGAACAAUUGGAGGGCAAGUCUGGUGCCAGCAGCCGCGGUAAUUCCAGCUCCAAUAGCGUAUAUUAAAGUUGUUGCAGUUAAAAAGCUCGUAGUUGAAUUUCGGGGUUCAUCCGUUGGCCGGGCUUUUUUGGUCUGUACUGGCGUGAUGGAUUCCUACCUUCUGAAUAACCAGCAUGUCAUUAAUUUGGUGCGCUGGGGAAGCAGGACUGUUACCUUGAAAAAAUUAGAGUGCUUAAAGCAGGUUAUCGCCUGAAUACAUUAGCAUGGAAUAAUGAAAUAGGACGGCAUGGUUCUAUUUUGUUGGUUUCUAGGAUCGACGUAAUGAUUAAUAGGGAUAGUUGGGGGCAUUAGUAUUCAAUUGUCAGAGGUGAAAUUCUUGGAUUUAUUGAAGACUAACUACUGCGAAAGCAUUUGCCAAGGAUGUUUUCAUUAAUCAAGAACGAAAGUUAGGGGAUCGAAGACGAUCAGAUACCGUCGUAGUCUUAACCAUAAACUAUGCCGACUAGGGAUCGGAUGAUGUUAAUUUUUUAAUGACUCAUUCGGCGCCUUACGGGAAACCAAUG